CCUUGAUUGGUUCCAAUCAAGGCUUGGACUUGGGUGCUGCCGCUGCGAAGCGGCUCACCUUAAAAUCAUUAGCUGGACUUGUCUAUGACUUGGUUCGACUCGGUGCAAUAAGUAUUCACCGGGGACAGAGUAAUCUGGCCAAGGCUUGAUGCCGUCUGCUUCCAACACUGUUCUCACUACGAGACACUACUUUACUGUGUGGCCUCAAAUCAGGUAGGAUUACCCGCUGAACUUAAGCAUAUCAAUAAGCGGAGGAAAAGAAACUAACAAGGAUUCCCCUAGUAACGGCGAGUGAAGCGGGAAGAGCUCAAAUUUGUAAUCUGGUGGACUCAGUCCAUCCGAGUUGUAAUCUAUAGAAGUGUUUUCCGCGCCGGACCGUGUCUAAGUCCCUUGGAACAGGGUGUCAGAGAGGGUGAGAAUCCCGUGCUUGAUACGACCACCGGUGCUAUGUGAUACACUUUCAACGAGUCGAGUUGUUUGGGAAUGCAGCUCAAAAUGGGUGGUAAAUUCCAUCUAAAGCUAAAUAUUGGCGAGAGACCGAUAGCGAACAAGUACCGUGAGGGAAAGAUGAAAAGCACUUUGGAAAGAGAGUUAAACAGUACGUGAAAUUGUUGAAAGGGAAACGAUUGAAGUCAGUCGUGCGCGCUGGGACUCAGCCGGUUCUGCCGGUGUACUUCCCAGUGUGCGGGUCAACAUCAGUUUAGAUCGCUGGAUAAGGGCAUUAGGAACGUGGCUCCCUCGGGAGUGUUAUAGCCUAGUGCCGCAUACAGUGGUUCAGACUGAGGAACGCAGCUCGCCUUUAUGGCCGGGGUUCGCCCACGUCCGAGCUUAGGAUGUUGACAUAAUGGCUUUAAACGACCCGU
rnacentral:rRNA from 1 species